UACGGGAGGCAGCAGUGGGGAAUCUUCCGCAAUGGGCGCAAGCCUGACGGAGCAACGCCGCGUGAGUGAAGAAGGUUUUCGGAUCGUAAAGCUCUGUUGUCAGGGACGAGAGACUUGAUCAGGAAAUGGGUCAAGGAGGACGGUACCUGACGAGAAAGCCACGGCUAACUACGUGCCAGCAGCCGCGGUAAU
rnacentral:rRNA from 1 species